CAGCUUUCCAUUAGUGAUAUAGAUAUCAAGAUCGAGAAAAGGGCAGUGGUCAGUGUUAGUAUUAGCUUUAUUUAAUGUAAGUUCAACAGGAUAAAUUUCAUUAAUAUACAUACUGAAGUCGUCAUUAUUGAGAGCCAAAAUAUCAUCCAAAUAUCUAAAAGUAUUAUUAAAUUUGUUUAUCAGAUGUUGCUUCGAUGGGUCUUUGCUUAUUUUUGUCAUAAAUUGUAACUCAUAACAAUACAAAAACAGGUCCGCAAUAAGUGGUGCACAGUUAGUCCCCAUUGGAAUUCCAAUAAUCGGACGAUAUACGGAAUCCCAAAAGCGAACAAAAAUGUUAUCUAGUAAAAAUUCAAGGGCAUAUAUAGUAUCAAAGCAUGUCCAAUUAACAUAGUUUUUUUGUUUAUUGCUACUAAAAAAUGACCUAAAAGAGUUUGAACAUAUAUAUUCACAUUCUGAUUUUUUGAAUGCCCAUUUAAUUAGGUGUGUGAAUUUUUUCUUAAUGAGAAUGUGAGGCAAUGUGGUAUACAGGGUAGAAAAAUCAAAACUUUGAACAGAUUCAAAAUCACCAAUAUAAGCAUGCAAUUUAUCAAGUACUACCAACGAGUUCUUGACACUCCAAAAGUAAUUUAUUCCACUAUUUUCGAAGGCCUUAUUUGAACAAUUUAU
rnacentral:lncRNA from 1 species